CGGGGUGUGGCGCAGUUGGUAGCGUGCUUGACUGGGGGUCAAGAGGUCGGAAGUUCGAGUCUUCUCACUCCGA
rnacentral:tRNA from 1 species